CCAGUGGUGCCUGGGAAAGGUCUCUAAAUAUCCCCUCAAAACUCCACAAUGCACAAGGGAUUGCUUGGCCUUCCUGCUCAAUUCCUGUUUGCACUGGCUUGGCUUCUACAUUGAACAUGCCUCCUUUAAACAUCUCCAGAUUUCAUUGGAUGCCAGGAUUGGACACUUACCCUCCCAUCCAGUCUGAACAGAGGAGAGAUGCUAAGAGUUUCUCUGAGUGAGUGCAGUGGUGGCAGAUGUAAACAGGAUUAGUCUGACACCUAGGGCAUGACAAGUAUGAGAUGCAAGUUUAGAUCCUAACUUGGAGGUCUUCAGCUCUGUGAGGAUGAAGAUGGCCGCGGAGCUGUGAGGCUCUGACAAACGCAGCUCCACAGAAUUCAUUUAAAAACUCUCUAGACGUCUGACUAAGAAAGCAAUUCCAUUGAGAUAUGAGAACUCAAGAAAUGAAGAGGUGUGGUAUAUGUCAGAGAAUGUCUCUGAACAUUACAAUAAGCUGUACUAUGCAUUAUUUGCUCAGUUAUGCAUUUCCUCUGGAGUUGGCAGCCCUGUGAACUACAAUGGUAGCGGUUGUAUGGAACGUAUGAGCCUGGGUAUAUAAAGGGAAGGGGCUGCCUGAGGCAGCACCUCAGCAUGCACCUCAGCGUCAUGCAAAGUGUGGCACUAAGUGUGCACUUUUCGUCACACUUGGAGCCAUUUUGGGGUCUGGAAUCCAUCACCCACCAAGAAAAAUCCAGCUGCAAGUGUUGAAAAGAGAAGGCAAACCAACCUCAUGAGAGACAAAGGAAGUGUCAUUGCCUAUAGAAAAGUGGUUUCUAUACCCCCAGGGUGAGAGCUUGGUGGACAUAGUUUCUGCGCCCUUAAGUGAAAGACAAGGGGGAGUGUUUGGUAUGAGAGUUUGGUAUGAAUGUUCUACUUAGAAUAAUAUGUGUGUGCAUUAUUUGGUUGUAUGUAGAUUUGAGUGGUUGUCAUGGUGAUGUUAUGGUAUGUAUAUGUGAGUAUGCUACUUUUAGGACAUGAGGUUGAAUUAUGUGAGUGCUUGUAGAGUGUGAUUUGAGGUAAGUGUGAGUGUGUUGGUUUAGAAUGUUGAUAUAUUUAAAUAUGAAUGUGCUGAUUUUGUAAGGGUGUGUUUGAGUAAACUAAAUUAUUUUUUUUCUUUUCCCAACGAUAGUAAGACAAAAUUCUCUUAUAAUGGG